rnacentral:rRNA from 1 species
AAACCAACAGGGAUUGCCCUAGUAACGGCGAGUGAAGCGGCAAGAGCUCAAAUUUGAAAUCUGGCCCUCUCAGGGUCCGAGUUGUAAUUUGUAGAGGGCGCUUUGGCGUUGGCCCCGGCCUAAGUUCCUUGGAACAGGACGUCACAGAGGGUGAGAACCCCGUACGUGGCCGCCGGCCUCCGCCGUGUAAAGCCCCUUCGACGAGUCGAGUUGUUUGGGAAUGCAGCUCUAAAUGGGAGGUAAAUUUCUUCUAAAGCUAAAUACUGGCCAGAGACCGAUAGCGCACAAGUAGAGUGAUCGAAAGAUGAAAAGCACUUUGGAAAGAGAGUCAAAAAGCACGUGAAAUUGUUGAAAGGGAAGCGCUUGCAGCCAGACUUGCCUGUAGUUGUUCAUCCGUGCUACUGGCACGGUGCACUCUUCUGCGGGCAGGCCAGCAUCAGUCCGGGCGGUCGGAUAAAGGCCUCGGGAAUGUAGCUCCCCUCGGGGAGUGUUAUAGCCCGGGGUGCCAUGCGACCAGCCUGGACUGAGGUCCGCGCAUCUGCUAGGAUGCUGGCGUAAUGGCUGUAAGCGGC